AACCGAUGCUGUUCCAAGCAUGAGUGAACAUUACAAGACCUGCACUGAAUUUGAGGCCAGAGGAAACAAUUAUUCCUGCUCUUCUUCUGAAUCUUCUGGUCAAGACAACAUUUCUGUAUUUAAAGGCAAUUCUGGCGCUGAACAUGCCUGUAAUUGAGGCUUAAUGGAAUCCCACACAAAUGAAGGAAUGUAUAAUGUUGAUAACAGCGAAAACAACAACAACUCUUUUGACAUGGGAAUGGACACAUAAUUGAAUGAUCAUGUCGUUCCAGACCCCAUCCAUUUUGCCCUGCUGAUUAUGAUCAGUUGAAUGUGCCUGGGUCACUUGAGUGCAUGCUCGCAGGUAGACCGUUACAAGUGCUUUCUUGGCGAGUGCAUGCC